GGCUACAAGGCGGGCGACGGUUCCCCACGGGAUGAAAUGGGAACGCGGUGCGUCCAGGACGCGUCCUGGGCAAUGCCGCGGCUGCCCCCGCAACUGUGAGCGGCGAGCCUUCCGCCACCUGUGUCACUGGAUGAGCCUCAUCCGGGAAGACGGCGAGAAGGCAGCGACCCGCGAGCCAGGAGACCUGCCGUCAGCCGUGGUCACACG
rnacentral:ncRNA from 1 species